rnacentral:rRNA from 1 species
GAUGAACGCUGGCGGCGUGCCUAACACAUGCAAGUCGAGCGAUUCUCUUCGGAGAAGAGCGGCGGACGGGUGAGUAACGCGUGGGUAACCUGCCCUGUACACACGGAUAACAUACCGAAAGGUAUGCUAAUACGAGAUAAUAUACUUUUAUCGCAUGGUAGAAGUAUCAAAGCUUUUGCGGUACAGGAUGGACCCGCGUCUGAUUAGCUAGUUGGUAAGGUAACGGCUUACCAAGGCGACGAUCAGUAGCCGACAUGAGAGGGUGAUCGGCCACAUUGGAACUGAGACACGAUCCAAACUCCUACGGGAGGCAGCAGUGGGGAAUAUUGCAUAAUGGGCGAAAGCCUGAUGCAGCAACGCCGCGUGAGCGAUGAAGGCCUUCGGGUCGUAAAGCUCUGUCCUCAAGGAAGAUAAUGACGGUACUUGAGGAGGAAGCCCCGGCUAACUACGUGCCAGCCGCCGCAGUAAUAC